rnacentral:tRNA from 1 species
UAGAAAAUGGUGUAGUGGAAGCACUUAGAGUUUUGAUCUCUAAUGGAUGGGUUCAAGUCCCUUUUUUCUAA